GAUGUUGGGUUAAGUCCCGCAACGAGCGCAACCCUUGUCUUUAGUUGCCAUCAUUAAGUUGGGCACUCUAGAGAGACUGCCAGGGAUAACCUGGAGGAAGGUGGGGAUGACGUCAAAUCAUCAUGCCCCUUAUGCUUAGGGCUACACACGUGCUACAAUGGGUAGUACAGAGGGUUGCCAAGCCGUAAGGUGGAGCUAAUCCCUUAAAGCUACUCUCAGUUCGGAUUGUAGGCUGAAACUCGCCUACAUGAAGCUGGAGUUACUAGUAAUCGCAGAUCAGAAUGCUGCGGUGAAUGCGUUCCCGGGUCUUGUACACACCGCCCGUCACACCACGGGAGUUGGAGACGCCCGAAGCCGAUUAUCUAACCUUUUGGAAGAAGUCGUC
rnacentral:rRNA from 1 species